GGUGGGUUGGCUUAGUGGUUAGAGCAUAAGUCUGGUAACCGAAAGGUUGCGGGAUCGAAUCCCGCUAGAGGCUG
rnacentral:tRNA from 1 species